ensembl:lncRNA
CAUAAUGUGUAGGAGUCCCAUGAGCAUCUAUUCGGAGCACUGAGUGCCAGGCUGGAAUAACCCAAUCCCACAAGAUUGUGUGAGGAUGGAUAAAGGCAGACACAAACUGUUCACCCCUGAGGCCGCUCUGGGCUGUGCCAACACCUGACAGCCUGAGAGUGGAUCUUCAGGGCUGGAAAAAGAAGAGGGAGCUGCUCUGUGCAGCCAAUGGCCAUCUUCUGCCACUCCAAGUUGGUGUACCAACUGCUCCAGUGUACCUUGGACGGAAUGCAAGGUGGAGAAAAGGACAAGAGAUAAUGGCCUUAAGUUGCUCCUGGAGAGGCUCAGGUUGGAUGUUAGGAAAAACUUCUUAGAAAGAGCAUCAGGAAUUGGCUCAGGCUGCCCAAGGAUAUGAUGCAGUGACUGUCCAUGGAAGUGUUCAAGAACCAUGGAGAUGUGGCACUGAGGGACGUGGUCAGUGGGCAUAGUGGGGGUGGGUUGACAGUUGAACUUGGGGAUCUGAGAGAUCUUUUCCAACCUUAAUGAUUCUAUGAAUUGAGUGAGGUACCUGAGGACAUCCCUUCAGUUUGCCCUCAGCUGUUCAUUCGUGUGACUGCAAUGGUGUUAAAAUGGGGAUGGCAGGGAAGUCUGAUGGAAAGACACAUACUGCUAGUCAUAAAAGUCAAAAUUAAGGGAGUAACUGCUGAAACAGAUAAAGAAGUGAAGAACAUAAUGUCAUGAAUCUCAAAACUGGACGUAUUGAUGUGCUGCUGUGGCUCUGAAUCCUGAUGGGAACUAAACAGAAGAGCUGGAAGUAUAAGUAUUUGAAAAGUGUGUAUGAUUACAAAUGAUGAGUAUGAUACAAAUAUAGAAAUUAUUACAUAUAUGAUCUGCUCUGGAUAAGUAAAACCAUCUGAUGAAUGUGGAGCUGCAUAAGGAUAAUUCAGAGCAGCAUUAGAACAAAUGGUAAGAAUAAUUAUUAGCAACAUAGAAAUAAAAUAAGGAGUGCAAUGGUAAGGAAUUAAGAAUUGAAUUUAAAACCAUAAAAAGGUGGCAAGAGGAACUGAAAACUGUGCUUUCCAAAUAAUAGAUGGUUUUUAUACAGGCAUUUAUAAGGCUAAGUUUGAGAUGUUUAAUUUCUGUAGCAAUAUAGCACUGUGUUGUCUGUGUAGUGCUCUGGUCUGACUCCUAAAAGUAGGAAGUACUUUUUAAGCACCAAAAUAAAUUAGCCACUUUACACUUAACCACUGUGCAGCCCACAAUUUACAGAAUACUUAGACACAGUGUAAUCACUUGAGCAGUGUUGCUGAUGUUGUUGGCUCCAAGAAACGCGAUCAAGUAAUUUAGUGCUAAAACUUAUUAAACAAAUAUUAUGCCUGCAUUGUUCUGCCUGUUCUGCAAGCAGAACAGAACUAGAUAGAGAAUGUAUUAACAAGGAGACAAAAACAGAUCUGUACUCUGAACUGUGUAACAAAAGCACUGUCUGAAGCCAAACACCAUCAGUGUGAAGAAAGCCUCUUCACUGACUGUAAUGGCUUUUGAAUGAGAGUUGUAUUGAUUUUGUACUAAAUGUGUAAGAAAAGCAUUUCUUCCAGAGUCUAAGGAGGAGCAGUCUAAAUCUUCUCUGUGCAAAAGCUUUGUUUAAGGAAAACAAAUCACCUGUCCUAUUUUAUGGACCAAUCUUUGACGUAAGUUGGAGGGCAAAUUCAAAUAAAACCUUUGGAAACUUUGAAACUGUUGAGAAGCCAAGCAGGUUUUUGUUAGAGAUCCUGAUUUCACAAGCACAUAAAUGAUUUGGAGAAACCUGGUUAAAAUGGUUCUCAACUACCUACAUAGCUGAGAUAUAUUUUACUCCAUCUGCUGCAUUUUAUUCUAUGUACCUUAUUAUUCCACAUUCUAUCUCUCUCUCACACACACAUUCUGAGCAAGUAGAAAUAAUUACAUAGUAGUACUUAUAUGGAAUUUGAGCUGCAGUGAUGCAGCAGUUCUAAAGCAAAGAGUUCUGUUUCUGCACUUACAUGAAGGCAGCUCCAUGAAAACAUCCCUGCUGCAGUUUUGUAAGUAGUUUAUUUUACUGAGGCACCUAAACACACACAAAAAAACAACCCA